GCAUAUCACACAUUUUAUCAGUGACAAUGCAGAGGAGAUCCUGCCCAUUGUGCUGCCUGCCCUGUACCAGUGUUCAAACAGCCAGCUAUAUGAGUCUGUCAAGCACAUCCUGACUGAUUAUCUGCCACAGCUGCUCAUGAUGAAUCCUGAGCUCUUUGCACACUGCAUAGAGCAGAUCCUGACUACAAGACGGAAAGAGCAGCUGAGGUCCAAAGCAAGUGAAAAGAUGUGGAUGAAGAUCGAGGCACUCGCUAAGUCCAAAACACAGGAUGGAGGAUGAAAACCAUCCCCGAGGCUGUGAUUCAUCACAUCCAGCACACAGAGCACAAAAUAAAAGCAAAAUAAAUUAAAUUUUGCACACCAAAUUAUUGUUUUUCAUUAUUUUGAAGAUGUCUGUUCUACAAUCAUUCUGCCCCAGAAA